rnacentral:lncRNA from 2 species
AAUAACCAAAUAUAACACUGGGACUAAGGGUCUAAUUGGUAAUUUUUCUUACAUCUCCCCCCAGGGGCCCAUGUAUCAUAUACACGGC